ensembl:rRNA 5S_rRNA 5S ribosomal RNA
GUCUGAUGGCAUACUGUGCUGAAUGCACUUGAUCCUAUCUGACUGCAGAUGCUAAACAAUCCUGGACCUGGCUAGUACUUUGCUGGAGGACCACCUGGGAAUCCUGGGUAUUAUAGGCA